CAAUGGCUAUGAUUAUUAGAGUUUACAGGAUUGGUGUUUGAUGUUUUUAAUUUUUAUGAAAAUUUGUCUCUUUUUUCUAGCUUGUCCCGUGGGAACUAAUGCGGAAUCUCCAAUGGAAAAAAAAUGAGACUACGUUGCUACAAAACUAUAAUAUAAGCUACCUCUCGUUUGUUAAAUAUUCGAACACAAUACUUAUGUAGAUAUAUACUUAAUAUCUUCAUCUAAUUAUGAUAGAUUUUAGUUAGUAAUUACUCUAUAAUAUUUUCAUCCGCAUUUAUAAUCUUUAACUUUUCACUUUGCUGUAGGUAUGCGCUUGAAUUUGUUUAAUGAACCCUAAGUUUGAGAUACAAUUUUAGCAUAGAAAUCUAUAUUCUCAUCACUUUAUAUCAUUAUAAAUGGUGACACAUAUCAUGCGU
rnacentral:lncRNA from 1 species